AUUGAACGCUGGCGGCGUGCUUAACACAUGCAAGUCGAGCGGUAACAGGUGUAGCAAUACAUGCUGACGAGCGGCGAACGGGUGAGUAAUGCUUCGGAAUCUUCCUCGUAGUGGGGAAUAACCUGGGGAAACUCAGGCUAAUACCGCAUACGAACUACGGUUGAAAGCAGGGGAUCGCAAGACCUUGCGCUAUGAGAUGAGCCGAAGUCGGAUUAGCUAGUUGGUGAGGUAAAGGCUCACCAAGGCGACGAUCCGUAGCUGGUCUGAGAGGACGACCAGCCACACUGGGACUGAGACACGGCCCAGACUCCUACGGGAGGCAGCAGUGGGGAAUAUUGGACAAUGGGGGCAACCCUGAUCCAGCGACGCCGCGUGUGUGAAGAAGGCCUGCGGGUUGUAAAGCACUUUUAGUGGGGAUGAAAAGCCAAGGGCUAAUACCCUUUGGUCUUGACCUAACCCAAAGAAAAAG
rnacentral:rRNA from 1 species